UAGGGAAUCUUCCGCAAUGGGCGAAAGCCUGACGGAGCAACGCCGCGUGAGUGAUGAAGGUCUUCGGAUCGUAAAACUCUGUUAUUAGGGAAGAACAAAUGUGUAAGUAACUAUGCACGUCUUGACGGUACCUAAUCAGAAAGCCACGGCUAACUACGUGCCAGCAGCCGCGGUAAUACGUAGGUGGCAAGCGUUAUCCGGAAUUAUUGGGCGUAAAGCGCGCGUAGGCGGUGUUUUAAGUCUGAUGUGAAAGCCCACGGCUCAACCGUGGAGGGUCAGUGGAAACUGGAAAACUUGAGUGCAGAAGAGGAGGGUGGAAUUCCAGGUGGAGCGGUGAAAUGCGCAGAGGAAUGGAGGAACAACACUGGCGAAGGCGACUUUCUGGUCUGUAACUGACGCUGAUGUGCGAAGGAGGGGGGAUCAAACAGG
rnacentral:rRNA from 1 species